GACGGGGGGGCAAGUGUUCUUCGGAAUGACUGGGCGUAAAGGGCACGUAGGCGGUGAAUCGGGUUGAAAGUGAAACGUCGCCCAAAAGUGGCGGAAUGCUCUCGAAACCAAUUCACUUGAGUGAGACAGAGGAGAGUGGAAUUUCGCUGUGUAGGGUGAAAUCCGUAGACUACGAAGGAACGCCAAAGCGAGGCAGCUCUCUGGGCCUCGACCGCGGACGCGAGGCGU
rnacentral:rRNA from 1 species